GUGAAUCAUCAAAUUUUUGAACGCAAAUUGCACUCUCCUCGGAGAGUAUGCCUGUUUGAGGGUCAGCCUAUAAAAAAUCGACAUCGUUGCUGUUUCACGGUGACGUUCGUAGGAAAUUGGGUCAUCUUAAAUUUUUUGGGUUUAAGUGACUUAAAAUUUUGUUUUUGAUUCGAUGAAAGUGUUUUUAAGAUUUAUUUCUUUACACGUUUAAGGUAUGGAUUUUUAUGAGACGUGACCAUCAUAUCGGAUAUCGUCUAUAAUGUUUCAUUAACUGAUCACAGAAAGGUAAGAGUACC
rnacentral:misc_RNA from 1 species